CAUCAAUGUCAUCGUGUUUCCAAGCCACAGUAAUGCACUUAGAGCAACUCUUCAUCAAUGUCAUCGUGUUUCCAAGCCACAGUACUGCACUUUAAAGCAACUCUUCAUCAAUGUCAUCGUGUUUCCAAGCCACAGUACUGCACUUUAAAGCAACUCUUCAUCAUAACACUGGGACAUGAUGACUGGAACUGCAUGUAGAACAUUGUCAUGUAGGACGUGUGUAGAUGUGUAGAUGUGUAGGAUUUGCUGACCCCUCAUCACCGAUUCAGUACCUAUAGGCCUGUGUCUGACCAUGCCACUUUGUGACACAUUACGUCCGUUAGCUCGUUAACUCGUCUGUAUUGGUGACUGUAACCAUGGCAGCAUGUCUAACGACCAACCCCCACCUCACCCUGUCUCCUCCGCUCCUCCAAGGUCGCCCCGGCGGUGCUACCAGCUAAACGGACAGUCGGGGCGCAGGCCAACGGAGCAGGACCGGGACACAUCUGUCUGUUUGGAUCCUUAUGUGGUCAUUCAAUGAGGCGUCAGGGCCGCAUGUCGCCCAGCAAGUCUGUCUGGCAUCUGUCUGUUGGCUCAGUGUUGUGUCUGUCACGCUCAAACAGCGACAAUUUAAUGUGGCCAACUUUUAUUGAGUGGGUCAGACAUUGUUGGCCCGGAUGAAGUGGAAUUUCUCUGGCUGUGAUUUUAAAUUGAGCCACUCAUUAGCCCCUCGAAACGAAUGACUUUAUUAAUCUCCUGGGGGGAAAUGAUUUGGGAAAUGGAUAACGACCAUUCGCAGGUUUUGGAGUUCUAUGCUAUCAUGUUUGGCUUAAAACCUUUCAUUAAUAUAACAGAGGAAAUCCGUUACAAUAUAUAGUUUCAUUAAUAUAACAGCUCCAGGUUAACUGUUGAAGGGGAUAUAUAGUUUAAUUAAUAUAACAGCUCCAGGUUAACUGUUGAAGGGGAUAUAUAGUUUAGUUAAUAUAACAGCUCCAGGUUAACUGUUGAAGGGGAUAUAUAGUUUAAUUAAUGUAACAGCUCCAGGUUAACUGUUGAAGGGGAUAUAUAGUUUAAUUGAUAUAACAACUCCAGGUUAACUGUUGAAGGGGAUAUAUAGUUUAAUUGAUAUAACAACUCCAGGUUAACUGUUGAAGG
ensembl:lncRNA